AGUGAACGCUGGCGGUAGGCCUAACACAUGCAAGUCGAACGGCAGCACGGUAAGAGCUUGCUCUUACGGGUGGCGAGUGGCGGACGGGUGAGGAAUACAUCGGAAUCUACUUUUUCGUGGGGGAUAACGUAGGGAAACUUACGCUAAUACCGCAUACGACCUACGGGUGAAAGCAGGGGAUCUUCGGACCUUGCGCGAUUGAAUGAGCCGAUGUCGGAUUAGCUAGUUGGCGGGGUAAAGGCCCACCAAGGCGACGAUCCGUAGCCGGUCUGAGAGGAUGAUCAGCCACACUGGAACUGAGACACGGUCCAGACUCCUACGGGAGGCAGCAGUGGGGAAUAUUGGACAAUGGGCGCAAGCCUGAUCCAGCCAUACCGCGUGGGUGAAGAAGGCCUUCGGGUUGUAAAGCCCUUUUGUUGGGAAAGAAAAGCAGCAGGUUAAUACCCCGCUGUUCUGACGGUACCCAAAGAAUAAGCACCGGCUAACUUCGUG
rnacentral:rRNA from 1 species